CCCGCCGGGCCUCAUCUCUCACACACACACACGCCGCCAAGGAGGACGAGCCCAUCCAAGGACACAUAACACUACUAAAUAUUCCAUUGUGUGGAAUCGCAUGUUUUCUUUUAUUCAAAAGAAAUAAAGUGCUCAUUACUGAAAAGCAUAAUGACGAUGAAAAACCGAUUGGGGCGUUAGAGAGAAGACAUAAUUACAUCAAAAGCUUCAAAGACAAAAAAAUGCACCUAAUAAUCAGCAUCUAUUCAGUAAUAGUGUGCAUUUAUAGACUUGUGAGAAAACCCUGAUUUGAUGGUAUCACAUUGGUAGGAGCCCCCCACCCAAAUCACGUGGGGCAAUCACGACGGAGACGGGGUUCACCGGGUUCAGGCAAACUAAGAGUCCGUCUGCACGGGGUCUGAGGAGCUGGCGAUGAGGCUCUGAGGGUUCGUCGCUCACAUCGCCCGCGCAGGUUUCAUCGACUGCUAAAAGUAUAAAUCACAAUAAGACGUUUGUUGAAUUCUAGCGAUUAACUAGAACUCUGAUGGAUUCUAAAAGUCAGCGGAAUGUGCAGAGGCAUGCAGGCACGCGAGGCCGUGAGACCAACGGCACUGGUCCAGCUGGCCGGCCGAACACUUCCACAUAUUCUUUCCUCCAGCUGCCUUUAUAAUCCAAAUAUUUAGAGUAACGUUUCUCACAAAGGACAGUUUAAAUCGACACAAAUCCUCCAGCUCAGAAAGGGCUUUUAAAGAAGUUUCUAGGCGUGGGUUCGAUUCCCAGGAUAGAACCCAUUGCCCCCCCCCCCUGCUGCACCCCGGGGAAUUGGUCCCUCUGACAAUGCCAGUCGGGGUCAGAUCCCGCCCACUUUGACCCCGAAGAUUAAAGAAAAGCAAUGGACCCAAUCAUGUUCCUCAUGACCUUUCACUGAGAUUAUAAGAAUACUGAUUUGGCUAAAACUAAGCCGAAUGCAAUAGAUGCAAAGAAGGAGUCUAAUCAUCAGCAGUGAGACCUUCAGCCGCUGCACGUGGACAGCACGAGUCAGCGAAAGCGAGCGGCGGGCGUUUUACACGGCCGCAGCGUGUAAAGUACCAUUAAACAAGCAGCGUCCGUUCAGCGAAAGAAGCGCGAUCAUCUCAACCUCAGUCAUCUUCUGGACUGCUUAUCCUCAGAGGGUCCGGGGUCGCGCUUUUGGAGCGCGAUGCCUGCCGUGACCUGCGGGAGCGUCGAUGGACGCGCGCUGAAGUGGGCGGAGCCUGCCGGAGCCCAGGACGCGGACAGACGGACCAAACGCUGCCUCUGAACGGGGUCUUCUGCAAACCUUUGCGUGUGGUUUUAGCAUCAACCCUGGACGGGAGCCCAGAGCGGGAGCGGCGCCGGUGGCGGCGUGUCGGCUGCGAUAUCUCGGCCCUCAGCAGACGAGCAGCCUGUGGUUCAGAGAUCAGAUACCAACGUGACUCAGACCUUCACUGGGGUCCAUCCUCACGCACACAGACACACACAGACACGCACGUCAUCAUCAUGCUUAUAGGGAUGAAGUCAGUCCAGAUAAACGGGUGAAAAAGGAGAGAAUUGAAAUGAGAGUGUGUGAAAUGGACGAUGAGAGGAGGGGGAGCCGUGGAGUCCGGCUCAUUCCUGACCUCAAAGACUUUUUCCCGGUUACAUCAUCUGCUUUUCACCACUUUCCAUCCCCGUAUCGAGCUGGAGGACUUUUCCAAUUUUUGUUCGUUUUGACUUCCUUUAAAUUACUUUUAAUAGUCUCUCUGCUCGUUAUACUUGAAACGCUUCCUUUUAAAGAGGGUUUUUAUUAAAGACAAAAAAAAGAAAAACCUGCUGGAACCUAAUGUUAUAAAAACACACAAAUCAAGAGUCAUUUCACAAAAUGCUUUAAUUUACAUUUCCUUUAACGGAUCACAGAGCCGCUCUGCUCUCAGUGUUGCCUGUUGGCUAGACAAGCUUUUGAUUCACGGACGCAUCAAACGACCAUCAAAGUGGUCACGAGGUACCGACGGAAAGAUUUCCUUUGGCAAAAAAAAAAAGAAAAGAAAAGCACAACGCGAACGCGCGCCGAACCCGAAACUCCAGCAGGGAGCAGACGCUCGUCUCAGAAACACGGUAAGAAACGUGAAGGUCGACGCAGCGUCGCACUGAGCAUCGUGUGGUUCUUGUUGUUGCCUUUGCUGAAGUCUGAGGAGCAGUUUCCAUCGGAAAGGUUCUCACAGCACGCCGGACUCAUCGAGACAGUGGUGAAUCAUGAACAAGUUACAAUGGUGAAGAUCUAAUAAAAAGUAAAUGGAUUUUUCAUGCGGUUGAUGAAAUGAAUAAAAGACUUCGGUUCGGGCCGAUGUGGCUCAUCGGCAAUGCGUGAUGUUGUAAAAUGAAACAUCACGAUGAGGUGAUUCUGUUACGUAACGCUAAUCCGAUCGGCGACUCACAACCGCGACGCGGCCCAAAUUGUGAGCUCUGUGAUCCGUUCGACCUCCGGACGAAAACACCCCAGAAGCUUCCGAGCUCCCCGGAGGACGGACCCGUAUAAUCCCAGCGAUCCGCUCGUGGGACGCGACGGGAGCGCCGUCCUCACGUUCCAGGAACCCGUCGAGGCUAAAAAAAAAGGCCUGAAGACACGACACGCGAGUCGGUUGAACGGCGGCUGGUUGUCUUCUCGUCUUUGUCCCCGGGCUCUGUCUAAAUAUUGGAGCAGACCGCGGUGAAAAGCGCCGGCUAUCCAGAGGAUUCAACCCAAUCUGCAUAUUCAUCACAAUUAAUUAGGAUUCCGCUCUGCCGUCAGUUUUUUUUCCUCUUUCCCGCUUUAUUUCUCGAGAGGCAACUACAAGACAAUGCUGGGGCGGUGAUCAGAAUCAGUUAUUAGGGUUUGGGGGGGGGGGGACAUACAAACGCCCCACAUCUCAAACGGGUAGGAUUCUGUCUGCAUCAGAUACGAUGAGCGCUACACAAGCGGCAGACGACUGUUGAUGGAGACUUUGUCUUUCCUCCUUUGUCGGGCGGGGGCGGGGGGGGGGGGGGGGGCGACAGGCGGCAAACACGCCUGCGGCGCCCAUUGUUUGGCGAGACGUACAAAAUGCAAACUGCCGCUUAACAGCCUCCUCGCUAAGCUAACGGGUUUUAAUUGCUCGAGGAAAGAAGAGAUGAGCGGCGGCGAGAGUUUGCUGAGCUGCAGGCGCGUAGAGGAAGACGCAGCGAGGGGUUUUUUUUAGUUGGAGGACAAACGGUGGCGUCCGGGUGCGUGAACAUUCUCUGGAAUGCGUCUCCU
ensembl:lncRNA